rnacentral:rRNA from 1 species
UACAGAGGGGGCAAGCGUUGUUCGGAAUUACUGGGCGUAAAGAGCGCGCAGGCGGUCGUUCAAGUCGCGUGUGAAAGCCCCCGGCUCAACUGGGGAGGGUCACGCGAUACUGAUCGACUCGAAGGCAGGAGAGGGUAGUGGAAUUCCCGGUGUAGUGGUGAAAUGCGUAGAUAUCGGGAGGAACACCAGUGGCGAAGGCGACUACCUGGCCUGUUCUUGACGCUGAGGCGCGAAAGCUAGGGGAGCAAACGGG